AUGAACAAGGAGGGAAUAUCCAUGGACGAAGCUUUAGAUCGGAUUCUUGAGAGGUUUGAGUUGAUGGAGGCCAACCGUAGACAAGAGGAGAAGUUCAAUCAAAUACUACAGAAGUUGGAGGAGGUAGAGGCUCGUAGGAGCAAGACUGCCGAGGAGACAAUUGCAGCCAUCAGGGCAACCACCGCUGUCCUCAAGGCUAAAUCACCUACAGCACCCAUGGCACCACCUACUCCAGCGCCUACCAAGUGUUUGACUGAAUGCCCCAACAACAACCUCACUUGGGCGACGGCGAGUUCAAGUCACAUUACUGAGGAUACUGCUCCAACAGCUGCCUGGGAGCUAGGAAACAACAAGCACAAGGGCCACGCCUCAUGCGUCGUCACCAAGGACUCACCCGAGGUCACGCCCACCAUGUUGGUUACGUCCGCCACCACUGCCGCGGCCUCUAUGGAGUUGGUAGCUGCUGGGAACGCAAUCGGUGCCACUUACAUGAACAAUCUUGACCACCCCAAGGUGACGCAUGCUAAGUGUUCGAUGUCUGGCUCCGGCGUCAAACGGGGCACUGAACAAGUUGUGCUUGCAUUCCCACUCAUGGCUAGCCCUGUGGAGUUCACGACAUCAUUGGUGGAACCAUCUCCACCCACGGGGCUGAAGCUUGGUGCUGCCAUCUGCGUGGGAGAUCAGGUGCCUAUGAAGUGUUCGAUGAAAUGUACUGAGAGUGACAACAAGCCACUGAUGGAACACCCCAAGAGAAACCCAUGGCCACCUGCUUGGUUAGGAUGGAAGAAGUGGUAUGUGUCCUGGACUGCAGUCAAUUAUUCUGAGAUGAGAUUUUAUUUCAUUCCACCGUGGCCACCGCCACUUAAAGUAGGUUGGCUUGCAUUGGUAUUUUCUAAAUUUGGAGCAGCUCAUACUGACAUGAUGGAUAUAAUGUUGCAUUGGACUGAUAUGAAACCAUGGCCUCCACCAAAUCAAAAUUUGAGAAGUAUCAUGGUGCAUCUAUUUGCUUGGAAGCAUUGGAAAGUUAGUGUAGAAGUGAGUCUCUUUGCUUGGAACACUAAACAAUACAUGAAUAGUGUGCUACUUAUUACAGUUGGCACCAAAUGGUUGAUUCAAUCUGCAGUCAAGGACUGUUUUCUCCAAGGCAAGCCAUUCAAACUUGUGGACCCAUUGGAACUCAUGCAAGUAAUUUUGGUGCUAUUAGUGCGGGAUCCAGAUGUUGAGAUGUUUCAGAUUGGCAGCUACUCUCUACAACCAGAAAAUUAUCAAUUAACUAACUACUUGGUGGCAAGACUAUUGAAGCAAGGUAAUCUGAAAAAGGUACUCGAUGGUGUGGAUCAUAGCAAAAACAUUAAGAAGAGUGAUGUUGAUGUUGGCGAGGACAAUCCUGGUAAUAUUAAUACUGCAGCAAAAAUGUUCAUUGAUGGUCUUGGUAUCAAGGAAGAUUCAGAGAUGCUAUGUCCAUCAGCCCAGUACAUUGAUAAUUGGUCUACUAAGCUGCUGGAUGAGAUAAGAAACGGGUGCAAUAUAUAUCUGUUAGUAGCACUAAUAGAUGAUGAGCUUAAUCCAUGGUGUUUCCUCAUAGAUAAGAGAUGGUAUGAUAUUUUGGUGCUUCUAUUUUUUACUGGGGCUACAUGGAAGGUUGAAAGCUAUGCACUUCCAAUUAAAGAUGUUAUCCAUAUGGUUGUUUAUUUUGUGCAACCUUUGCAAGGUAUUCUGCUCCAAACAAGGCAAGGAAAAAUAGAGAAUCCUGUCAUUUUGGACAUAACUUCAGCAACUCAAACUGUCAAGUUUUUGCUCUGUUACAAGUCAACUAUUAAGAUCCACCCAAGUUGUUCUUCCAUGGUACAAAUUUCUGCCAGUAAAUUCAGAGCUUGUGGGAAGGAGAACAUAUGCUACAUGCUUCUAUUGCUUGUAUUGAAUAUUGGUGACUGCACUUCUCUGAGGUCCACUUCCUAUAUGCUACAUGCUUCUAUUGCUUGUGCUGAAUAUUGGUGCCUGCACUUCUCUGAGGUUGUCCAACAUGCAAUUUGUAUUGGAUGGAU
rnacentral:lncRNA from 1 species